GUAUUACCGCACCUGGUAUCUGAAUCGCCCCAAAGUAGCCAACCAUCUCCUCCAAGACCUUUGCAGUGGCAGCUUGUACCUGGGCCUGGAUCUGUUCCUGCAUGUCACUCUGCAUCUGAUUCAUCUGAGCCUGCAAUAUCCGACACACAAGGUUUAGACAAUGCAAAGGAAAUGAUCGAAUACAUAAAGCAAUGGACAACGAAAGAAAGUGAAGUCACCUGAAAGGCCGCCACCAUCUGCGCCGAGCUCUGCUGCCGAGGUCGUAUGGGCACGGAGCUGCUCGUGCUCCUCGACCGAAUCGUGGCGAGGUUGUCCACGGAGGACGAGGAGAUGGCGCU
rnacentral:lncRNA from 1 species